UACGUAGGGGGCAAGCGUUGUCCGGAAUUACUGGGCGUAAAGCGCACGUAGGCGGCUUUGUAAGUUAGAGAUGAAAGCCCAGGGCUCAACCCUGGAAUUGCCUUUAAGACUGCAUCGCUUGAACAUCGGAGAGGUAAGUGGAAUUCCGAGUGUAGAGGUGAAAUUCGUAGAUAUUCGGAAGAACACCAGUGGCGAAGGCGACUUACUGGACGAUUGUUGACGCUGAGGUGCGAAAGCGUGGGGAGCAAACAGG
rnacentral:rRNA from 1 species